ACUUAAGCAUGAUUAUAUGUUAAACACCUGGCACAUAUACGGUGCAAAAUAUUUAUGAGUGAAAUGACAAGUGAAGGUGGUGAGUCAUGGGAGUUCCAAGGGAACGGAUGAUAAAGGCAGGUCUCAAAUGAGGCACAAGUGGAGAAGGUAGCUUGGAAAAGGAGAAGGAUGCUUCUCCUUAUAACAUGGGAAAGGCAGAGGAAGAGGGUCAAGAUACAGUGAUCUAGGGGUGAGAUGGAAGUGAGUUGAGAGAACUCAACUCUGGGCUCUGAAACCCCUAGGGAUGGGUGUUGGGGGCUUUGAGAUAUGGAAGAGGUUUAAAGUCAAUUGUUAUAGCAAAUAUGGUUUGGAAUUUAUUUGUGAUACUUAAAAAUAUUGCUGAACAGAAGUGAAGUCUACCCUAGAGUUGGAUGGUGAGAUUAUUUAGUGGAACUACCAGAUCCAUGUUGUGAUUCCUUCCAGUAUCAUUCAGCAGCCCUUGGGCAGUUGCGAGGCAAGUCAUCAAUGGGGUAUGGAGAUUUUCCAGGUGGGUGUGGUUGAAGAAAGGGAAGAACAAGUUUAGGAGCACAUUACAAGAAGAAGGUGACUGUAAGGUCCAGGCUGAGCAGGAAGGUAAAGCAAGA
rnacentral:lncRNA from 1 species